ACCUUGGUUCUACUAAGAACCACUGCUUAAAACCUUCUGAAAAAAAU
rfam:Vigna radiata var. radiata cultivar VC1973A chromosome 1, whole genome shotgun sequence